rnacentral:rRNA from 1 species
AAAUUGAAGAGUUUGAUCAUGGCUCAGAUUGAACGCUGGCGGCAGGCCUAACACAUGCAAGUCGAACGGUAACAGGAAGCAGCUUGCUGCUUUGCUGACGAGUGGCGGACGGGUGAGUAAUGUCUGGGAAACUGCCUGAUGGAGGGGGAUAACUACUGGAAACGGUGGCUAAUACCGCAUAAUGUCGCAAGACCAAAGAGGGGGACCUUCGGGCCUCUUGCCAUCAGAUGUGCCCAGAUGGGAUUAGCUUGUUGGUGAGGUAACGGCUCACCAAGGCGACGAUCCCUAGCUGGUCUGAGAGGAUGACCAGCCACACUGGAACUGAGACACGGUCCAGACUCCUACGGGAGGCAGCAGUGGGGAAUAUUGCACAAUGGGCGCAAGCCUGAUGCAGCCAUGCCGCGUGUAUGAAGAAGGCCUUCGGGUUGUAAA